AAGACUAUACUUUCAGGGAUCAUUUCUAUAGUUCUUAACUUGAGAGAUGUGUUUCUAAAGUGUUGGUCUCGCUAACUACGAUGAUGAGUUGGUGACAUUCCUCCUUGAGCGCGAAACAGGCGGAGAGACUUGGAUUUAUCCUCAUGCUCUUCGCUCUUGAUGACCGUUCACUGUUUCCUUUGGAAGUAGCGAGGGGAGGAGUGUGAUCAGAGUAGU